GAUGAAGAACGUAGCGAAAUGCGAUACGUAAUGUGAAUUGCAGAAUUCAGUGAAUCAUCGAAUCUUUGAACGCACCUUGCACCCUUUGGCAUUCCGAAGGGUAUGCUCGUUUGAGUGUCAUUGUACUCUCACACUCCCAAUUGCUUUGGAUUGGGAGCGGUGGACUUGGGUGUUGCUGCUUGACUGAGGCUCACCUGAAAUAUGUUAGUGCACCUCUUGAUUGGACAUAGUACGGCGUGAUAAGUGUCUUCGCCGGCUCCUCGCAAAGAGGGUGGCCGAUCGGGAGCUCUGUUGCUUCAAAUUGUCUUCGGACAAUCUUCUGGCGACUUGACCUCAAAUCGAGUAGGACUACCCGCUGAACUUAAGCAUAUCAAUAAGCGGAGGA
rnacentral:misc_RNA from 1 species